GGAGUGAUGCUCGAGUGGUUGAAGAGGCACGCCUGGAAAGCGUGUAUACCCCAAAAGGGUAUCGGGGGUUCGAAUCCCCCUCACUCCG
rnacentral:tRNA from 2 species